UUUUCGCCUGGGGCGAAAAGAAAACAGAGAGCCCCCUUUUCCUGCUUCAAAUUUCGCCCGGGGCACGGGUUUUUUCGCCCGGGGCAAAAAAACAGCAGAUUAGUGUUUUUUCCACGUUUUCAAGGCAAUUCCCAACAAUCUCCACCUUGCCUUUAAAACGAUGGUGAUGCCAACUUCCCAUCAACCACCGUGCUGCUCUCUCCACUUGUUUACACCACACCCUCUUCGGCCCCCGGAGUCUAUCUCUCCGUACUCCCGAAAGAUGCUUGUCUCCAAUUGCCCUUGGAUUUUUAGGACAAUACACAAGCUAAACCAUACCCUCUUCAAACCUCGGAUUAUAGCUUUCCGUACUCUUGAAGAUAUGCUUGCCUCCAACCAACCUUGGAAUUUUUAGGUGGUUUCACAAGCUACAGCCUCAAACUCUCCUUGUGUCCAACUACCUCCAGCAGUCUAACAAGUUACCAAGCUUGAUCACCAUUGCUUCCACACAAGGUCUUCAUAGCCAUACCACUUUGGUAUACCUUCACCUCAAACCGAGAUUCCUCCACCAAAGCCUUAAACCGGUAUAUCCACUAUGUCUUCCACCUUGUAACUGAGUAUUCUUACCACCGCCUCUCCAGGCUGAUGUUGAGUAUUAUUCCACCGCCUCUCCANNNNNNNNNNNNNNNNNAGGCUGAUGUUGAGUAUUAUUACCACCGCCUCUCCAGGCUGAUCAGCAAGCUAUGAGUGUCAACUGGUGACUAUGAGUGCUCCCGCACUCGCAUAGCCUUCCUCCUCAUCAACGGCAACAUGAGCUGACGAACUACCACUGCCCCUUCUCCGAGGAC
rnacentral:lncRNA from 1 species